rnacentral:rRNA from 1 species
GACGAACGCUGGCGGCGUGCUUAACACAUGCAAGUCGAACGGUGAGGCCCUUCGGGGUACACGAGUGGCGAACGGGUGAGUAACACGUGGGUGAUCUGCCCUGCACUUCGGGAUAAGCCUGGGAAACUGGGUCUAAUACCGGAUAGGACCACUGCCUGCAUGGGUGGUGGUGGAAAGCUUUUGCGGUGUGGGGAUGGGCCCGCGGCCUAUCAGCUUGUUGGUGGGGUGAUGGCCUACCAAGGCGACGACGGGUAGCCGGCCUGAGAGGGUGACCGGCCACACUGGGACUGAGAUACGGCCCAGACUCCUACGGGAGGCAGCAGUGGGGAAUAUUGCACAAUGGGCGCAAGCCUGAUGCAGCGACGCCGCGUGAGGGAUGACGGCCUUCGGGUUGUAAACCUCUUUCAGCACCGACGAAGCGCAAGUGACGGUAGGUGCAGAAGAAGGACCGGCCAACUACGUGCCAGCAGCAGCCGCAG